rnacentral:lncRNA from 1 species
UCCGUCGUUCGGCCGCUUUUAUCACCUGCUUCUUCCUCCGGGAUCCUACUCCGGCAAGAGACCGCCGACCUCGUAAGGCGCCGCCGGGUCGCUGUGCUUCCUUUUCAUACGCGCCACCGCAUCAGAUCUGGCUGACUUCGUCACGUUGGAUGUUUAUUUGCAGGUCGCCGGUGUCUCCAGCGUCGGCGUCUGCAUCGUCUAGGGUUCCGACAAGGUCGGCGUCGUCUAGGGUUCCGACAAAGUCGGCGUAGUCUAGGUCCCCGUCAAGCUUCGUCAAGCUCGGCGUCGACAAGGUAAACGCGCCCAAAUUCCCCUGUUAUGGACCUUGCUCGGCGUCGACAAGGUCCAUCCCCGUACGUGCCGCUCUGCAGUGUCACCUGCACCGACGCUCCCAUCUGACUAUGUUCACCCCUUUGCCGGCGGCAGGUGCGAUGGGCGGAGGCAGCGACGGGGAGUGGAGCUCGUUUGGAUUGUAAACCAGAAGCUGUCCUCGGCAUCCCGAGCUUGAUUGCCGCCUUGGAAGGUAGCAAGUCUUAUUCCCUAAAAAAGUCUUCUACGUACUAAACAAAACUGAAUUCUCUCAGAAAGAAAGUUCUGAAAUGAGGCAUGUAAGUAGCAGGCUGAACUCAGAUCCCAUCCGACAUGGACAUGACAUGCCGUGAUGAAUGAUGAUGCUUGUGUGAUGAGCUGCGCAACUAGGCCAGCUUUGUUUUCAUACACUAUAGCUUGUCUCAUGUUUUGGUCUGAAUUAUGUUUACUUUCUGAAUGUGUGAGUUCUGGUUGGUUUCUGAUUUCUGAAUGUGUUGUGCUUUGUUCUUCUGCAGCCCAUCCUGCACACGGGGGUAGGCGCGGACGUGAGGCUCCAGGGUGCUACUACCGCGUAUGGCCGGCCCCGUAGUCCCGUGGAUAAGCAGCGGUAGGGACAUACAUAGACUGAAAUAUGAACUCAACUGAACAUCUGGACUCCUGAAUCCGUGCAUAAUGUCAUGUGGAGCGUUUUUUAUUUGAUUUGGAUGUUUCUGAGAUUAGACAAGGGGUUGUGUUUAGAGAUUUCGGAUUCAGAGGUAUGAUUCAGCAUGCUAUUGUUAGGAGGUUGUGUAUUCUGGCACUUGGCCUUGGGAUUUUUGCUUUUGUUUCUUGAUGAUCGUAGGGUGGUUUGUGUAGGUUGACGUAGAAGUUUUUCUAUGUUUUAAAAAUCUUACGUUUAUUUUACGAAUUUUGUAGCAGCAACAUGGAUUAGUUCUUGAGACUUGUUAGCAUGUAUAUUAGGUUUUCUUCUAUUCAGCCGGUGGUAUGCAUGCAUCUAUUAACAUUUAGGUCGCUUGUCCAUAUUAUAGGCUGGAGUAGUUUUGUAAAUGCUAGGCCAUGAAUUUAUUCACAUGUUUGUAUUGAUAAACGAUGCAUGUGUUGCAUCCUACCCGCACGACUUUGUUAUUUUAAUGUUGAAAAGUUUUCUUUAAUUUGCAUUUGAUGCCGUGAAUAGUCCUUUGCUUGCACAGUAGAGUGUUCUGGUGUUUUAGGUAAUUUCCUCUGUUGCUCUAGGAGCAGCACUACCAAUUUUUUUUCACACUAUAUUUGUGAAAUUAUACAAAUAAGAAUUCUGUGGUUAAUUGCAGCAUUUUGGGUGGACAUAGUUAGUUAACAAUGAUUUUGUAGUAUGGUGUCAUUCAUCUACCAUACUUCUGUAUCAUUUUCCUUGCAAGUAUUAUCAUAACAUGAUAAUUCGUGGUGUUCUUGUCCUCUGUGUUGCUUAGCUCUUAUUUGUUUGGGCACACACACAAAAGCAGAACUUGCCUAGCAAUCCCUUUUAAGUACUAACAUAGUUGUUUGAUCUUUUUACUGUAAUUGAUAUAGUUUGUUGACCUUUUUUCUAUCCUAAUGUAUUUAAUGUUUUCAUUAUCAUGCUUUCUUCUGUGAAUAGCACAACUAUCAGUGAUUCUAAAUACUUGAAUUAUGGU